AGGAGGAUCUGUAGCCACAGGGCUCAGAGAUGAGGAGGGCCAUGGACGGGCAAGGAGCAGAUCAGCUUAAUAUUACAAAGAUUUCACCAACAGUGCUCAGGAAGCAGAAACUAACUGGGAAGACAAGUUCAAACAGCUGCCAUUCCUACCCAGGGCAAUCCUUCACUAUCAGCUUUGGAGGAGCAUUACUGGGAUUUCUCCUGCCUAGCCUUUCACCCCAUGCUUCUGUAAGCCCCCAAACAGGCUUCCCACAGAGAAACAUGAGGAGCUUUGCUGGAAGCACAGGCUGAGCCCCUCAGUCCCAUCCCUAAUGAAGAGCUCAGCUCACUUCCCUGCAGUAUUUCACUCACAUUAAACAGGUAUUUUAUAUUAAAUAUUCUACCUAAUCAACAUCCUG